rnacentral:rRNA from 1 species
GAUGAACGCUGGCGGCGUGCCUAAUACAUGCAAGUCGAGCGAACAGACGAGGAGCUUGCUCCUCUGACGUUAGCGGCGGACGGGUGAGUAACACGUGGAUAACCUACCUAUAAGACUGGGAUAACUUCGGGAAACCGGAGCUAAUACCGGAUAAUAUAUUGAACCGCAUGGUUCAAUAGUGAAAGACGGUUUUGCUGUCACUAUAGAUGGAUCCGCGCCGCAUUAGCUAGUUGGUAAGGUAACGGCUUACCAAGGCAACGAUGCGUAGCCGACCUGAGAGGGUGAUCGGCCACACUGGAACUGAGACACGGUCCAGACUCCUACGGGAGGCAGCAGUAGGGAAUCUUCCGCAAUGGGCGAAAGCCUGACGGAGCAACGCCGCGUGAGUGAUGAAGGUCUUCGGAUCGUAAAACUCUGUUAUUAGGGAAGAACAAAUGUGUAAGUAACUAUGCACGUCUUGACGGUACCUAAUCAGAAAGCCACGGCUAACUACGUG